AGGUAGUAACAGAGGGUUCGAUCAUGGCUCAGAUUGAACGCUGGCGAUGCUUUACACAUGCAAGUCGAACGGCAGCACGGACUUCGGCCUCGGUGGCGAGGGCGAACGGGUGAGAAUGUAUCGGAACGUGCCUAGUAGCGGGGAUAACUACGCGAAAGCGUUAAUACCGCACACAAUACCCUUCGGGGGAAAGCGGGGAACCUUCGGGCCUCGCACUAUUAGAGCGGCCGAUCUUCUGAUUAGCCAGUUGGUGGGGUAACGGCUCACCAAGGCGACGAUCCGUAGCUGGUUUGAGAGGACGACCAGCCACACUGGGACUGAGGCACGGCCCAGACUCCUACGGGAGGCAGCAGUGGGGAAUUUUGACAAUCGGGGAAACCCUGAUCCAGCCAUCCUCUGCGUGUGCGAUGAAGGCUCGCUAAAGCACUUCUUUUGGCAGUGAGAAGAACGGCACGGAUAUCACCCUGUGCCAACUGACGGUACCUGCAGAAUAAGCACCGGCUAACCACGUGCCAGCAGCCGCGGUAAUACGUGUAGGGCGCGUUAAUCGGAAUUACUGGGCGUAAGCGUGCGUGCAGGCGGUUCGGAAAGAAAGAUGUGAAAUCCCAGAGCUUAACUUUGGGAACUGCAUUUUUAACUACCGAGCUAGAGAGUGUGUCAGAGGGAGGGAAUUCCGCGUGUAGCAGUGAAAAUGCGUAGAUAUGCGGAGGAACACCGAUGGCGAAGGCAGCCUCUGGGAUAACACUGACGUCUGGCUAUGCACGAAAGCGUGGGGAGCAAACAGGGAUUAGAUACUCCUGAUAGUCCACGUCCUUAAACGAUGUCAACUAGCUGUUGGGGCCUUCGGCCUUGGUAGCGCAGCUAACGCGUGAAGUUGACCGCCUGGGGAGUACGGUCGCAAGAUUAAAACUCACAAAGAAUUGACGGGGACCCGCACAAGCGGUGGAUGAUGCGACUAAUUCGAUGCAACGCGAAAACCUUACCUACCUCUUUGACAUGUCUGGAAUCCCGAAAGACGGGAGUGCUCGCAAGAGAACCGGAACACAGGUGUCGCAUGGCUGUCGUCAGUCUGCAAUGAGAUGUUGGGUUGCGUCCCGCAACGAGCGCAACCCUUGCCGCUAGUUGCCACGAGCGGCACUCUAUCGAGACUGCUGCGACAAACCGGAGGCGCGCUGCGGGGAUGACGUCAAGUCCUCAUGGCCCUUAUGCCAUGGGCUUCACACGUCAUACAAUGGUCGGGACAUAUAUCGCCAACCCGCGAGGGGAGCCAAUCCCAGAAACCCGAUCGUAGUCCGGAUCGCAGUCUGCAACCUCGACUGCGUGAAGUCGGAAUCGCUAGUAAUCGCGGAUCAGCAUGUCGCGGUGAAUACGUUCCCGGGUCUUGUACACACCGCCCGUCACUAACGGCGUAAGAGUGGGUUUUACCAGGCGGUUAGCUCAAACCGUAAGGAGGGCGAUUACCACGGUAGGAUCUAUGACUGGGUGAAGUCGUAACAAGGUAA
rnacentral:rRNA from 1 species